UUCGGAGGAGAGAGAAAUCUUUUAGGUGGAUGCCGGUGUAGUCCUUAGCGGCCUGCAAGAGACCUCCGUGCCCCCAGGUGGCUCCUCUGUUCCCCUCCUCUUCACUCCAAUGUCACGCAUUUUCAUUCUCUUUGUUUACCCAGAAAAGCAAUCUAGGUUGUAUAAGCUUGGCACUAUUGAAAACUGGUUUGGGGAGACCUGCCCCUCACAGUAAGGUCACAUCACUUAGUCUCCCAGAGCCUCCUCUUCUGAUCUGUAAAACGGGCAUAACAAUACCGUGCCCUAGAGAGUGUGCCUUUAGGAAUAACUUUCCCCUGGCCGAGAAGUUUCUGGUGUCUCCUCGUGGAGGCCCAAAUACUCCAUGCCUGACUCCCGCGGUUCACCUGUUUGGUUCCACUCCCCAGGAGGCAUCGAAAGGAAGUGGAGACGGGGUUUCAUCAUGUUUGCCAGGCUGCUCUCAAACUCCUGACCUCCAGUGAUCCACCUUCCUCGGCCCCCCAAAGUGCUGGGAUUACAGGCGUGAGCCACUGCACCUGGCCCAAAGUUUGAAAUAUUGCUAGAGACUGUUUGGAGAGGCAAAACCAUUAAGAAAGGGGAGAGGUUGAAGUGUUUUAUGGUCUCCUGCUCUGGCUGCCAAUCUUAAGACAACUUCGAUUUUGGAAGAAAUUUCCAUUCUCUUCUUCUACCGUACGAGAACAAAGGUACAAUUUUGUAGCUAUUCAGGGUAGAAAGAUGUUUUAUCAUUGAAGGAGUGAAUUCUUGGAUGUGUUAAUAUAUCUCCUUUCACAGGUAUGUUGAAGGACAUUUUACUUCUGGCUCUUUUUUUUUUUAGAUGAUGUCUCACUCUGUUACCCAGGCUGGAGCGCAGUGGUGCAGUCUCGGCUCAC